rnacentral:rRNA from 1 species
UACAGAGGUCCCAAGCGUUGUUCGGAUUCACUGGGCGUAAAGGGUGCGUAGGUGGUCGGGUAAGUCUGAUGUGAAAUCUCGGAGCUCAACUCCGAAACUGCAUUGGAUACUAUUCGGCUGGAGGGUCGGAGGGGGGACUGGAAUUCUCGGUGUAGCAGUGAAAUGCGUAGAUAUCGAGAGGAACACCAGUGGCGAAGGCGAGUCCCUGGACGACUCCUGACACUGAGGCACGAAAGCUAGGGGAGCAAACAGG